rnacentral:ncRNA from 1 species
GGGUGUCCACCGCAUCGUGCGGCGGGCAGGUUCAUGCGUCGGUCGGGCCGCCACG